AGUGAACGCUGGCGGUAGGCCUAACACAUGCAAGUCGAACGGCAGCACAGUAAGAGCUUGCUCUUACGGGUGGCGAGUGGCGGACGGGUGAGGAAUACAUCGGAAUCUACUUUUUCGUGGGGGAUAACGUAGGGAAACUUACGCUAAUACCGCAUACGACCUACGGGUGAAAGCAGGGGAUCUUCGGACCUUGCGCGAUUGGAUGAGCCGAUGUCGGAUUAGCUAGUUGGCGGGGUAAAGGCCCACCAAGGCGACGAUCCGUAGCUGGUCUGAGAGGAUGAUCAGCCACACUGGAACUGAGACACGGUCCAGACUCCUACGGGAGGCAGCAGUGGGGAAUAUUGGACAAUGGGCGCAAACCUGAUCCAGCCAUACCGCGUGGGUGAAGAAGGCCUUCGGGUUGUAAAGCCCUUUUGUUGGGAAAGAAAAGCAGCAGGUUAAUACCCCGCUGUUCUGACGGUACCCAAAGAAUAAGCACCGGCUAACUUCGUG
rnacentral:rRNA from 1 species